CUUUGAAUAGUGUUUUACUUUUCAAAAAUUGUUAUAUAAGUCUCCAGUAUGGAGUUGAGAACCCCCUCUUUUAAUAAUGUUAAGGUAUAAUUUAUAUGCCAUAAAACUUAUUAAAUUUAAAUGAAAGCCUUUAUUUUUAUCUAAUUAUGUUUGUGGCUCAUUUUUCAAAAUCCCUUUCAGUUAUAUUUUUCUCUUAACUUAGUAGCCCAUUCACAUAUUUUAUUUAGGUAUGCAUGUGCUAAUGUUAUUAGCACUGCUUGUCAACACUGUAAAUUCUAAUUAAAGACAGUCAUAAUUUUUUCAGUGGGUUUCUUAGCUUUAAUUCAUGAUAAAUGCUUUCCUUUAAAUGAUACUCACUUCACUAAACAGAAAAUUCAAAAGCAGGAGCUUUGUUCUAAGGGACUACAUGUGGAAACUUUUCAGUUUUCUUAUUUUUGAAAAACCUCAGUUCUUAAUUAAUUUACUGUCUUUUUCAGAAUCUUAUCAAGCUAUUAACGCUUUCACUAUGACUAUCCUAUGUUUGUAAAUGUUAACUUUGUUUGCUCUUUUCAUUUUAGCAGUUAAUUCCCUGGUUAUCGACCCACAUUAUGAGUAGAUUGUUAGUUGAAUUUGUAACCAUAAGUAAAUAUUUAAUACAGUGACAUCAAAUCUCAGGCCUCUUAAGAAUUGGCACAGCUUUUAAAUUCUGUUUUAAAACAUCAGGGGUUAGUACAAUAUUAAAUUUAUGUUUUUAUAUUUUCUAGAGCUUUGGAAUAAAUAGAAGUUGUUGUAUUUUACAGCUUACAGAAAGUAACAGUGAAUUAUGCUGGUCUUCUUGAGAGAGGUUAACCAUAGAUUAUAAUACAUAUUUGGCUAAAAAGCAAUUAAUAAAGCUAAAAAGCAAUUAAUAGUAG
rnacentral:lncRNA from 1 species